AGAUGUUCUAUUUAAUAUAAUUUUAAUAUACAUAUUAAAUAUAUUCUGUUUAAUAUGAACAGGUGUAUUUGAGAAAUAAUUUAAUAUUCUAUUAAUAUUACAUUCUUUGACAAAUUAAAAAAUAUCGAUAAAAUUAAUUUCUAUAUUUAAACAACUGUGAUAUCUUACUCUGCUAUUGCUGUUGACUUUGAAGUUAGCUUGAAGUAUAGCACAAAUCCAUUUAUCUCUUAAUAUGGCAUCCAAGGGAAGGAAAAGACAUGCACACUUGGUCCAUUGUCAUAGUUAACUUGACAGUUUGGCACACAGAAUUUGCUGUUUAUAAAAAUCUUAUUGGUCUUGCACUUACAACAACAGUUAUUAACUUUAGAUUAACCACAAAAUAUCACACUUUUUCAAUUCACACAACUUUGAGCAACAUACAUAUUGAAUCAAACAACAGCCAUAACAGUCAACCUACAGACCAUGAUAUAGAUAGAUGAUGAUGUGGCACUGCUUAGGCCUUAUUAUCUAGAUGGUCUUAUUGUUGUUAAACGUCAUCACAAAUCUGCCUACGUCAUAACAUGGUGUCAUCUACAACAAUAGAAAUCUUUAAAAUUGCAAUAAAAUGAAUGAUUUUUGUACAAUUUAUUGAUCUGUG
rnacentral:lncRNA from 1 species